GAUGAAGAACGUAGCGAAAUGCGAUAAGUAAUGUGAAUUGCAGAAUUCAGUGAAUCAUCGAGUCUUUGAACGCACAUUGCGCCCCCUGGUAUUCCGGGGGGCAUGCCUGUCCGAGCGUCAUUGCUGCCCUCAAGCACGGCUUGUGUGUUGGGCCCCCGUCCCCGGUUUCCCCCGGGGACGGGCCCGAAAGGCAGCGGCGGCACCGCGUCCGGUCCUCGAGCGUAUGGGGCUUUGUCACCCGCUCCGUAGGCCCGGCCGGCGCCAGCCGACACCCAACUUUAUUUCUAAGGUUGACCUCGGAUCAGGUAGGGAUACCCGCUGAACUUAAGCAUAUCAAUAAGCGGAGGA
rnacentral:misc_RNA from 1 species